GGAGUUAGCCGGUGCUUCUUCUGUGAGUGAUGUCCUUCCUGCCGGCUAUUAACCCGCAGGCCUUCUUCCUCACUGAAAGUGCUUUACAACCCGAAGGCCUUCUUCACACACGCGGCAUGGCUGGAUCAGGGUUGCCCCCAUUGUCCAAUAUUCCCCACUGCUGCCUCCCGUAGGAGUCUGGGCCGUGUCUCAGUCCCAGUGUGGCUGAUCAUCCUCUCAGACCAGCUACGGAUCGUCGCCUUGGUGAGCCGUUACCUCACCAACCAGCUAAUCCGACAUAGGCUCAUCCGAUAGCGCGAGGCCCGAAGGUCCCCCGCUUUCCCCCGUAGGGCGUAUGCGGUAUUAGCCUGGGUUUCCCCAGGGUUAUCCCCCACUACCGGGCAGAUUCCUAUGCAUUACUCACCCGUCCGCCGCUCGCCACCAGGGAGCAAGCUCCCCGUGCUGCCGCUCGACUUGCAUGUGUAGCUGCCGCAGCGUCAUCUGAGACACGAACUACCGAACCCGUACGA
rnacentral:rRNA from 1 species